UUACGGCCACAUCAUGUUGAAACACUAGUUCCCGUAGGAUCACCGAAGUUAAGCAAAGUCGAGUCUGGUCAGUAUGGAUGGGUGACCGUUUGUGAAUACCAUGUGCUGUAAG